rnacentral:rRNA from 1 species
UACGUAGGGGGCAAGCGUUGUCCGGAUUUAUUGGGCGUAAAGAGCGUGUAGGCGGUUUGUUAAGUCAUGUGUGAAAUCCCUCGGCUCAACCGGGGAACGACGCAUGAAACUGGCAAGCUAGAGUACCAAAGAGGGGGGUGGAAUUCCCGGUGUAGCGGUGAAAUGCGUAGAUAUCUGGAGGAACACCGGUGGCGAAGGCGGCGUUCUGGACUGCAACUGACACUGAGGAACGAAAGCCAGGGGAGCAAACGGG